rnacentral:lncRNA from 1 species
GCAACAAUCUAGCCGGGGAUUAUAAGGCUUUUUGGCCGGAGAGAAAGCCUUUGGUCCUUUUUUCCGGUGAUGUAUGUAAUAGUAGAAGAAUUCAAGUUUAGUUAACCUUUUAUUAUGUAAGAGAUAGAAACCUUAUAACAAUAAGACCACAGUGCGGCCUGACCGGAGCUCUGGCAACGGAAGAUUGGUCAGCUUAUCACUUUUUUUUCCUUUUCAUUUUUUGUAUUUUGAAUCUUUCG